UUUACAAUGAAGAGUUUGAUCCUGGCUCAGGAUGAACGCUAGCUACAGGCUUAACACAUGCAAGUCGAGGGGCAGCAUUUUAGUUUGCUUGCAAACUAAAGAUGGCGACCGGCGCACGGGUGAGUAACACGUAUCCAACCUGCCGAUAACUCGGGGAUAGCCUUUCGAAAGAAAGAUUAAUAUCCGAUAGUAUAUUAAAACCGCAUGGUUUUACUAUUAAAGAAUUUCGGUUAUCGAUGGGGAUGCGUUCCAUUAGUUUGUUGGCGGGGUAACGGCCCACCAAGACUACGAUGGAUAGGGGUUCUGAGAGGAAGGUCCCCCACAUUGGAACUGAGACACGGUCCAAACUCCUACGGGAGGCAGCAGUGAGGAAUAUUGGUCAAUGGACGAGAGUCUGAACCAGCCAAGUAGCGUGAAGGAUGACUGCCCUAUGGGUUGUAAACUUCUUUUAUAUGGGAAUAAAGUAUUCCACGUGUGGAAUUUUGUAUGUACCAUAUGAAUAAGGAUCGGCUAACUCCGUGCCAGCAGCCGCGGUAAUACGGAGGAUCCGAGCGUUAUCCGGAUUUAUUGGGUUUAAAGGGAGCGUAGGUGGAUUGUUAAGUCAGUUGUGAAAGUUUGCGGCUCAACCGUAAAAUUGCAGUUGAAACUGGCAGUCUUGAGUACAGUAGAGGUGGGCGGAAUUCGUGGUGUAGCGGUGAAAUGCUUAGAUAUCACGAAGAACUCCGAUUGCGAAGGCAGCUCACUAGACUGCAACUGACACUGAUGCUCGAAAGUGUGGGUAUCAAACAGGAUUAGAUACCCUGGUAGUCCACACAGUAAACGAUGAAUACUCGCUGUUUGCGAUAUACAGUAAGCGGCCAAGCGAAAGCAUUAAGUAUUCCACCUGGGGAGUACGCCGGCAACGGUGAAACUCAAAGGAAUUGACGGGGGCCCGCACAAGCGGAGGAACAUGUGGUUUAAUUCGAUGAUACGCGAGGAACCUUACCCGGGCUUAAAUUGCAUUUGAAUAAUCUGGAAACAGGUUAGCCGCAAGGCAAAUGUGAAGGUGCUGCAUGGUUGUCGUCAGCUCGUGCCGUGAGGUGUCGGCUUAAGUGCCAUAACGAGCGCAACCCUUAUCUUUAGUUACUAACAGGUGAUGCUGAGGACUCUAGAGAGACUGCCGUCGUAAGAUGUGAGGAAGGUGGGGAUGACGUCAAAUCAGCACGGCCCUUACGUCCGGGGCUACACACGUGUUACAAUGGGGGGUACAGAAGGCAGCUACCUGGCGACAGGAUGCUAAUCCCAAAAACCUCUCUCAGUUCGGAUCGAAGUCUGCAACCCGACUUCGUGAAGCUGGAUUCGCUAGUAAUCGCGCAUCAGCCAUGGCGCGGUGAAUACGUUCCCGGGCCUUGUACACACCGCCCGUCAAGCCAUGAAAGCCGGGGGUACCUGAAGUACGUAACCGCAAGGAGCGUCCUAGGGUAAAACUGGUAAUUGGGGCUAAGUCGUAACAAGGUAGCCGUACCGGAAGGUGCGGCUGGAACACCUCCUUUCUG
rnacentral:rRNA from 1 species